rnacentral:snRNA from 1 species
GGCCAUGAGGGUGACCUGGAUGUGACACCUGUCAUCUAAUUGAUCACCCUGGUGGAUUUGACUGACUAGGUGGAUGUCCCCCUCUUCCCUCACCACUUCCUGUAGGUUCCUCCCAAAGCUGUGUACCCACUGUCAAAGAGUUGACUUUCCCUGGUGGAGGAGGAGUGGUCUUCAGUCAAGGUUACAUGAGCCAUUGUGCUUUCUUGUCAGAACCUCCAAAUAAAUUCUCAAGAGACAGAAGUGCCCAGUGUGGUCCCACUUUUAAUCCUGGGAGACAGAGGCAGGCCACUAAAGUUACAAAGUGAGACCCUGUCU